rnacentral:rRNA from 1 species
CCUACGGGUGGCAGCAGUGAGGAAUAUUGGUCAAUGGGCGUACGCCUGAACCAGCCAAGUCGCGUGAGGGAAGACUGCCCUAUGGGUUGUAAACCUCUUUUGUCAGGGAGCAACUCCGGCCACGCGUAGCCUUACCGAGAGUACCUGAAGAAAAAGCAUCGGCUAACUCCGUGCCAGCAGCCGCGGUAAUACGGAGGAUGCGAGCGUUAUCCGGAUUUAUUGGGUUUAAAGGGUGCGUAGGCGGAAUGCCAAGUCAGCGGUAAAAUCGCGGGGCUCAACCUCGUCGUGCCGUUGAAACUGGCGUUCUUGAGUGGGCGAGAAGUAUGCGGAAUGCGUGGUGUAGCGGUGAAAUGCAUAGAUAUCACGCAGAACUCCGAUUGCGAAGGCAGCAUACCGGCGCCCAACUGACGCUGAAGCACGAAAGCGUGGGUAUCGAACAGGAUUAGAUACCCGGGUAGUC